GUGCUGGAUUCCGCAGCACAUAUACUAAAAUUGGAAUGAUACAGGGAAGAUUAGCGUGGCCUCUGCGCAAGAAUGACAUGCAAGUUCAUAAAAAAAUAAUAAGGAACAUAU